GGAAGAUUCAAAAUCGCGAACCGUUACUGCAUGAAUUACUCUCGGUCUCUUUGUUUGCUCAUCGACAUUACGAGGUCAUGUACACUGUGGUCAACUUUGUGGACGAUGAAGAGGUUUCUGGGUAAAGAUGAUAGAAAUAUAACGAAGUAACAGUGGAAGCUAAAACAUCAGACUGAUCCAGACACUGAAGAAAUUGAUGUCACUGCAAUCUGGCCAAAAUGAUACAACAAUAUUGAACUAGCCUACUGUAAUGAAGCUGCAGAACAACACAGAGACUCUGAGGACAUCAACACAGAAAAUGAAGGUUCCAAAGAGAUGUCUGUCCAGAUGAGGGUGCAUCAACUUUACCUUUGCUGACAACAGUUAACUUAACUCAAACCAUUUAAGGAAAUCGGUUGCCUUAAACCAUUAAGUUUUAAAAAACAUACAUUUGAGUACUGUGAACUUAAGUCUUGUGCAAUUAUGCACUUAUAUUUAGGUAGUGUGAACUUAAAUAUAAGUGCAUAACUGCAUGUGACUCAAUUUUUUUAAGUUCACAGUACUCAAAUCUAUGUGUUUUAAAACUUGAAUGGUUUAAUGCAACCGGUUUUCUUAAAUGUGAGAAAUGACAGUGUUACAGUGAGAAAUGUUUGAUUAAUUCCAAGACAGAGCUCUGCUAUUGAAUCUACACU